AGUCCGUUACUGUUUGAGUCGGUGUGUGAGGUGAGCAGCUGCUGAUUAUUACCCGGUCGGACACGGAUUAUUUUAUAAAUUCUUGUUAAAUUCUUAUUUUGAGCGAAUGUGAGUUGUGAUAUGUCAAUGAAGGACAAAACUUGAAAUGUGAACAGAGGAAGGGGUUGUAACGUUACGUGGUCUGUAAAAAUACUGGCGAUAUCACUUCAGGUCAAGCAUUGGAAUAAGAUUUUUUUGGGGGGAGAACACCCAAAUAGAGACAAAUCCACCAACUACAUGAAAGGUCAUGUCACCUUCAUCAGUCCUUUAUUUAAUUCACUGGAAAACAUUAAGGGAAAGACCCUCAGACAUGUCAUAACAGGAUAAAGGCUGCAGACUCACCAAGGAUCCAGAUGAUUCCUGGCAAUUUGGUGGAGGAUUUUUCUUCAGCUGCUGUCACUUCUGGAUCGUACAGAGAGCGGACAAGAAGUGAAGAGGGAACGAGAGGAAGCGUUGGCAUCGAAACGGACCGCGAGCUGGGACUCUGCUAGAGCAAUGCACAAGGCUGUCGCAUUUUAUUGAGAUGCUAAGCUUUUUCUACUGUUACUGUACAUUUUAAAUAUUAAAUGUAUUUCAUCUAAGUUUUACUGUAAUUGAACAAAAACUGUCUUUUAAAUAUUCCAUUCAGAUUUGUACUUUACUUUAACAUUACGUUGAAAACACUGCAAGUUAAAGUUUGAGAUGUAGAAAGUAUUUUUAGACUUUUUUGUUUUGUUUUCCAAAAUAAAACUUGUUUUACAAUCUUGA